CUCUUCUCAGUACGACUUACCGUGAAGUCAUGUUCAUCCGAAACGACGACAUGCGAUGGCAGAGGAUAGUGUUGCUCUUUGAACGUAUCGGCACGUGGGAUCUCAUUACCCUUCCUCCUCAUGCUCAUCCCAUCACUUGUAUCUUCUAAGUGGGUUUAGAAGAUUUAGACUUUUGAUGGUUCUCUUGUGUUACAAAGCUAGUCUUGUGACAUGUGGCUUUCAACAGAAACAUGGCUAUGACUAUGAUGAGACAUUUGCUCAUAUGGCCACAUGACUACCCUUCCGACACUUCUUGCAAUGAUAUUUGUUCAUUACUCGUUCGUCUCUCACCUUGAUGUCAAGAAUGUAUUUCUUAACGAUGAGUUGCAUGAGGAAGUCUACAUGUAGCAACCACCUAGAUAUUUUUUCCUGGUGGGAUGAUCUAUCGUCCUCAUCGUCUAUAUGCCUUUAGUUCCUCGUGUAUGGUUUGAAGGUUUUUUCUCAAUGAUGACUACAAGUAGUUUUUGCCAAAUGAUCAUGAUCUGCACUUUCUAUCCAUCUUUCAGCUCGUGGUCAGACUUCGCUCCUAUAUGUCGAUGACAUGAUCAUCAUUGCCAAGGGUAGUGCCAUUUUGAAGUUUUUAUGUCUGAUAUUGGUCCUCUUUGCUACUUUCUUGGAAUUGAGGUUUCUUCUAUUUCUGAUGGCUUCUUUAUUUCUCAAGAGAAGUACAUUCAGAAUCUUCUCGCUCGUGCUGCUCUUAGUGAUAGGGUCAUUGUUGACACUCUCAUGGAGCUCAACGUCCACCUUUGUGCUUCCGAAAGUGAGCUAUCAGGAUUGCGCCCAACCAUGUGAAGCUUGAGCUCACCAAGCAUAUUAAUGUCGAUGCCUCCUUCGUGCGUGUAGAAUCAGAUUAUUACUCUUCAGUAUGUGCCUUUCGAUUUACCCUUGGUCAGUUUCUUCAUGAAGGCCUAAACAUAAGCACAAGAGAGCUUUUACCUCUCCAAAUCCACCAACAAUUGGCUGGUUUCUACACGAAGAUUCAAACAAAGCACAACAUGGCUUAUAUCUCUCCAAAUUAAAUGUUGUUGAUCCACCAUGACCUUGAGGAUUUUGGUGUUUCUAUCACUACAUUACUCCUCGUGUCAUACCAUACAGUAGAUGAGCUAUCAAGAAUUCGCUCGUCUUAGUGAAUAAUUUUUAUGUUUGAUAUCUGUCCUCUUAGAUACUUCAUUGGAAUUGACGUUUCUCCUACUUCUGGUGGCUUCUUUAUUUCCGAAGAGAAGUAUAUUCAGGAUCUUCUCGCUCAUGCUGCUCUUAAUGAUAGGGCCAUUGUUGACAAUACCAUGGAGCUCAACGUCCACCUUCGUGCUUCUGAAAGUGAGCCCUUGUUUGAUCUGACGCGCUACCGUCAUCUUGUUGGGAGUCUUUCAGAGGUCACUUGUCCACACAUUUCAUAUCACGUCAUUCCAAGUCAGUUUGUUUCUGCUCUCACUUUGAUCCACUUGAGUCACCUUCCAUGUAUUCCAUGAUACAUUUGUGGAACUAUCUCUCACCUAUGCUAUAGUUCUACGAUAUCUUUGUGGAACUAUAUCUUCUUCCUAUGCUCAAGCUUGUUCGUUCCUUUGUAAUUAUUGUCUUUCUAAUUAUUGUGUUUUUCUUGAUGAUUUUCUCAUUGCCCGGAAGACAAAGAAACAGACAUCGCUUUUCCCUUUGAGUGCAAAGGUUGAGUUGCAAGCUAUGACUUCAUUGACAACGAAGGCGACUUGGUUAUGAUGGUUGCUUGAGGAGUUUGGUGUUUUUGGCACUAGACCUACUCAUCCCUUGUUAGACCGUACAAAUAUAAUCAGUAUUGCGCGUAGCCCUUUGAAGCAUGAGCUCACCAAACAAAUUGGUGUUGAUGCGCCCUUUGAAUGGUCCAGUGUGCAGGAUCAAAUAAUUGAUGUUUAGUUUGUGCCUUCCGGUUUACAGUCGGUCGAUUUCUACACGGAGACUCAAAUAGAGAACAGCACGGUUCUCUCUCCUAAGUUAGUGUUCUUGAUCCACCAUGACCUCGAACAUUUUGGUGUUUCUAUCACUACAUUACCAUGGAACUCAACGUCCACCUUUGUGCUUCCGACAGAGAGCCUUUGUUCUAUGUAACACGCUACCGUCAUCUUGUCGGGAGUCUUGUCAGAUGUCACAUGUCCACACAUUUCAUAUCAUGUUGUCAUUCCAAGUCAGCUUGUUUCUGCUCUCACUUUAAGUGUUCUAUGAUAUCUUUGUGGAACUAUCUCUCACUGUUUCUCUUCUUCCUAUGCUCAAGUUCGCUCGUCCCUUUCUAAUUAUUGUGUUCCGACCAUGUGAAGCAUGAGCUUACCAAGCACAUUAAUGUUGAUGCCUCCUUCGUGCAAAUCCCGUGCGGGAUCAGAUUAUUACUCUUCAAUAUGUACCUUUCGAUUUACUGUUGGUUGGUUUCUUCAUAAAGGUUUAGACAGGAGCGCAACACAUCUUUUAUCUCUCCAAGCCAUAGGGCCCAACAGUUGUCGCACCUCAUUGAACAAGCACGUCAUGUCAUCCCGAGUAGUACAUCCAUGUGAAGACAACAAAUCUGCCCACAACCGUUCGUCGUCGCGGCUAAGCACAAGCAUAGGGUGCAUUAUUCCUUUCUCCUCCAUGUGUCCUCUUCCGCCUUUCUCGCUUCCACUAAUGCCAUCCCCUCACCACUCAACUCCACGUCCAAAAGCUAAAUUGUCGGUCCGCUCCCGAUACCGUUUUCACCCCUUCCACCACAACCCUCGUGCACUCUCUGCUCCCUGCCUGUACGGUUUGCUCUGUCACUGUCUCGGUCCCACAACUCGUGUUCCCCCGGAGGGCGCCACUAAAGCCGAACGCUCGCGCACCACCUAUCGGCGGAGCAGGAGCCAGGGCAGUCGGCACCGCAAUGACUAACCCACAUGAUGCGUGCAAGACGCUACCUGUCGCCGGGGCCAAGGACAACCAACAAGGGAACAUGGCAUGCCACAUCAAGUCAAUGGCACAUAACCUGCGAACAGGGGAAGGACACCAAACCGGAUCGACGAGGAACAAAGAUUGCACAACUUCGACGCCUACUUCUUUCAAUUUUAGUUUCAUAGCCCGGUGCUUCUUCAUCAACCUCUUUAGUUGAGCCCCUGACUACACUGGUGGUUACUCAACCUUGGUGUCUUUUGGUCCUCCAUCAACAAAUUUUGCAACUUCACUAGUGGACAAUUUGUACAAAAGAAGAGAAGACAAGGGAAAUAUGUUUGGUCUUUUCACUAGUUUUCAACAAUAAAGCACACCAGAGCCAAUCAGAAAUUCAUUCACUUCAAACACUUAUAAGACACAAUAAGUCGUAAAUGAUAAAUCUUUUUGGAAUUUUUGGGUUUUGCAACUUAAACACAAAGAUGAAAAAAAUGAAAANCCACUAAUGCCAUCCCCUCACCACUCAACUCCACGUCCAAAAGCUAAAUUGUCGGUCCGCUCCCGAUACCGUUUUCACCCCUUCCACCACAACCCUCGUGCACUCUCUGCUCCCUGCCUGUACGGUUUGCUCUGUCACUGUCUCGGUCCCACAACUCGUGUUCCCCCGGAGGGCGCCACUAAAGCCGAACGCUCGCGCACCACCUAUCGGCGGAGCAGGAGCCAGGGCAGUCGGCACCGCAAUGACUAACCCACAUGAUGCGUGCACGACGCUACCUGUCGCCGGGGCCAAGGACAACCAACAAGGGAACAUGGCAUGCAACAUCAAGUCAAUGGCACAUAACCUGCGAACAGGGGAAGGACACCAAACCGGAUCGACGAGGAACAAAGAUUGCACAACUUCGACGCCUAAUUCUUUAAGGUUUUAGUUUCAUAGCAAGCUGCUUCUUCAUCAACCUCUUUAGUUGAGCCCCUGACUACACUGGUGGUUACUCAACCUAGGUGUCUUUUGGUCCUCCAUCAACAAAUUUUGCAACUUCACUAGUGGACAAUUUGUACAAAAGAAGAGAAGACAAGGGAAAUAUGUUUGGUCUUUUCACUAGUUUUCAACAAUAAAGCACACCAGAGCCAAUCAGAAAUUCAUUCACUUCAAACACUUAUAAGACACAAUAAGUCGUAAAUGAUAAAUCUUUUUGGAAUUUUUGGGUUUUGCAACUUAAACACAAAGAUGAAAAAAAUGAAAAAAAGAAAACGACAAUGAAAAGCCAAAAAGAACAAUCAAAACAAAACAGAGGAAAACAAAAGAACAAUGAAAGAGAAAUAUUUUUUGAAUUUCUAAAAAAAGGCAAAAGGAAGAACUCAAAAAACAAAUCAGAAAUAAAUUUGGAAUAUUUGAUUUUUUUUAAAUUAGGCAAACAAGAACGCAAACAUAAAAGAUAUCUAAAGUUUCAACAAAGAGGCACUCAAAUAAACUUCGAAUAAAAAGCAAAAAAAACAAAGAAAUAUGUUCGUUGUUUCCUCAAAGAACUUCAAAAUUCCAAAAGAACAAAAGGAGACAGAAAUCUUUUGGGGUUUUUUAAAGCAAACAACAAACAAAAGAAACACUUGAGACUCAAUAAGCCGCAAACAAGAAAUCUUUUUGUAACUUUUGGGUAUCACAACGUAAACACAAAAGAUGAAGAAACGACAAAAAAAGCAAGAAAAGCCUAAAAUAACAACCAAAAGAAAACAACAGAAAACAAAAGAGAAACGAAAGAGAAGUACUUCUGUAUUUUUUUGAAACAAGAAUUAGAGAAACACAACAGAAAUAUUUUUAGAAUUUUUAGCAUUCUCAAAGAAGGCAAAAAAUAACGCAAAGAGAAGCAAAUAAAAAAUCCAAAGUUUCAACUAAGAGGAAAUCAAAUAAACUUCCACAUGAAAAGCGAAAAGAACGAAGAAUAUAUUUUUUGUUUUCUCAAAGAAUUCCAAAAGAACAAAAGGACAAAGAAAUGUUUUUCCUUUUAAAUGAAAGAGCAAACAAACAAAAGAAAGAAUAAUAAGCAAAAAAAUAAAAACACUACAAACAAUUGAGACGCAACGUAGAAAUCUUGUUGGAAUUUUUCGGUUUCGCAACUUAAAGACGAAAGAAACGACAAAAAGAAAACAGCAAGAAAAUCCAAAAAGGAAAAAAAAUAUUUAUGUAUUUUUUGAAACAAAAAAAGGCAAAGAGCACAAAGAACCACAAAAGAAAUAUUUUCAAAAAAAAAAUAGUUUGCUCAAAGUAGGCAAAUAGGAACGCAAAGAGAAGCCGAGAUAAAAGAUUUCCAAAGUCCCUUCUAAAGGAAAUCAAAUAACCUCCAAAGAAAAAGCAAAAGGAAAGAAGAAUAUUUUUCUUGUUUUCCCAAGAAAAUUCAAAAGGACAAAAGGACGAAGAAAUACUUUUUUAAAGAAACAAUAGGAAGCAAAAAACAAAAAAACAGCAACACUUCAAACCUUUUAUCCACCUCACUCGUCCCCUAAGGCUUCCUCGAUGAUUCCCACUCAUCCUCCUUUUUACUACACUACUCGUCUAUAUCUUGUGGAUUCUUCUGAUGCGCGAUCGUUCGAUGAUCCCUCUCCCUCGAGUACUAUGUCUCCGUCUCCCUCGAAUACUAUGUCUCCUUCUAUUGGCAACGCACUUCCUCCAGCUCAACCUACUUAUGGCUUCUAGCCUCGCCCACUUCCGCCUAUUGAUCACUAUGGGUAUUCUAGGGUUGUUCUUCUCAAUACGACUUACCGUGAAGUCAUGUUCAUCCGGAACGACGACAUGCGAUGGCACAGGAUAGUGUUGCUCUUUGAACGUAUCGG
rnacentral:lncRNA from 1 species